GUAGGUGGCAAGCGUUGUCCGGAAUUAUUGGGCGUAAAGCGCGCGCAGGCGGUUCUUUAAGUCUGAUGUGAAAGCCCACGGCUCAACCGUGGAGGGUCAUUGGAAACUGGAGAACUUGAGUACAGAAGAGGAAAGCGGAAUUCCACGUGUAGCGGUGAAAUGCGUAGAGAUGUGGAUGAACACCAGUGGCGAAGGCGGCUUUCUGGUCGGUAACUGACGCUGAGGCGCGAAAGCGUGGGGAGCAAACAGGAUUAGAUACCCUGGUAGUCCACGCCGUAAACGAUGAGUGCUAAGUGUUAGGGGGUUUCCGCCCCCCUUAGUGCUGCAGCUAACGCAUUAAGCACUCCGCCUGGGAGUACGGCCGCAAGGCUG
rnacentral:rRNA from 1 species